rnacentral:rRNA from 1 species
UUUUGGACAAUGGGCGAAAGCCUGAUCCAGCAAUGCCGCGUGCAGGAAGAAGGCCUUCGGGUUGUAAACUGCUUUUGUACGGCCCCGAAACGGUCUGCCCUAAUACGGCGGGCUAAUGACGGUACCGUAAGAAUAAGCACCGGCUAACUACGUGCCAGCAGCCGCGGUAAUACGUAGGGUGCGAGCGUUAAUCGGAAUUACUGGGCGUAAAGCGUGCGCAGGCGGUUAUGUAAGACAGUUGUGAAAUCCCCGGGCUCAACCUGGGAAUUGCAUCUGUGACUGCAUAGCUAGAGUACGGUAGAGGGGGAUGGAAUUCCGCGUGUAGCAGUGAAAUGCGUAGAUAUGCGGAGGAACACCGAUGGCGAAGGCAAUCCCCUGGGCCUGUACUGACGCUCAUGCACGAAA